rnacentral:rRNA from 1 species
AGAGUUUGAUCCUGGCUCAGAUUGAACGCUGGCGGCAUGCCUAACACAUGCAAGUCGAACGGAGGUAGGGGCAACUCUACUUCAGUGGCGGACGGGUGAGGAAUGCGUCGGAAUCUACCCUAUGGUGGGGGAUAACACAGGGAAACUUGUGCUAAUACCGCAUAAUGUCGAGAGACCAAAGCAGGGGACCGCAAGGCCUUGCGCGAUAGGAUGAGCCGACGCCCGAUUAGCUAGUUGGUAGGGUAAAGGCCUACCAAGGCGACGAUCGGUAGCUGGUCUGAGAGGAUGAUCAGCCACACUGGGACUGAGACACGGCCCAGACUCCUACGGGAGGCAGCAGUGGGGAAUAUUGGACAAUGGGCGCAAGCCUGAUCCAGCAAUGCCGCGUGUGUGAAGAAGGCCUGCGGGUUGUAAAGCACUUUUGUUCGGGAAGAAAUCAUGCUGGUUAAUACCUGGUAUGGAUGACGGUACCGAAAGAAUAAGCACCGGCUAACUUCGUG